GAUCAUGGCUCAGGACGAACGCUGGCGGCGCGCCUAACACAUGCAAGUCGAACGAGCGAGAGAGAGCUUGCUUUCUUGAGCGAGUGGCGAACGGGUGAGUAACGCGUGAGGAACCUGCCUCAAAGAGGGGGGACAACAGUUGGAAACGACUGCUAAUACCGCAUAAGCCCACGACCAGGCAUCGGGUAGAGGGAAAAGGAGCAAUCGCUUGUAGAUGGCCUCCGCGUCCGAUUAG
rnacentral:rRNA from 1 species